rnacentral:rRNA from 1 species
GACAGAGGGUGCAAACGUUGCUCGGAAUCACUGGGCGUAAAGGGCGUGUAGGCGGGAAGGAAAGUCGGGCGUGAAAUCCCUGGGCUCAACCCAGGAACUGCACUCGAAACUUCUUUUCUUGAGUGCCGGAGAGGAAAGCGGAAUACCUGGUGUAGAGGUGAAAUUCGUAGAUAUCAGGUGGAACACCAGUGGCGAAGGCGGCUUUCUGGACGGUAACUGACGC